rnacentral:rRNA from 1 species
UACGUAGGGUGCGAGCGUUAAUCGGAAUUACUGGGCGUAACGCGUGCGCAGGCGGUUAUGCAAGACCGAUGUGAAAUCCCCGGGCUCAACCUGGGAACUGCAUUUGUGACUGCAUGGCUAGAGUACGGUAGAGGGGGAUGGAAUUCCGCGUGUAGCAGUGAAAUGCGUAGAUAUGCGGAGGAACACCGAUGGCGAAGGCAAUCCCCUGGACCUGUACUGACGCUCAUGCACGAAAGCGUGGGGAGCAAACAGG